rnacentral:lncRNA from 11 species
CGCCAUUGGACAGCUGGGGCAUCCGUUUGAAAGGAAGCGGCCCGUCCCUGGGUCUGGGCGAAGGAGUAGUUGUAGCUGGGAUUGGGCGGGGGACGGAUCGAGGAAGGAGAUGAGCCUGCUCUUGAAGUCCUCAGCUAUUCCAGAAACCUGCGCCAGCUCCCAGUUGGUUGAAAAACUGUCCUGCUGGGAUCCAUGUGGCUCAGGACUACAUCAGAUGUCAUCGCUGCAACAAUGUCCCCAUGUUUCCUAAUCAGCAAAUAUAUCUUUGUGAAACAUAUUGGAAAUUUUAAUCAUCCUGAUGCUGAAAUGCUGGCAGAUUUUAUGCACUAAACCAGAG